GCGGUAUACAUACCAGCAUUGAUUAGCUCGCCUCCGAGAUCAACGCAACACCGACAUGAAGCUUACGUCAUUCAUCCUGCUGCUGUGCCUGGCGCUGGCCCUUGUCUCAGCAGAACCUGAACCUUUCAAGAAAUUCAAAAAAUUCAAGAAAUUCCCAGUAUACAGACCAGUACCUGUCGUCUACCGGCCAAUCUACCGACCAAUCAUAAAACCUGUCUACGUACCUGUUGUCAAACCCGUACCUGUUGUUGUUAGCCAUGGUUACGGUGGUGGAUACGGUGGUGGAUACGGGAAAGGAUACGGGAAAGGACGGUAAAGUUGGAUAACCGAAGAAGAUGGGUAAAGCAAGAUAUACUGAGUACCUAUCGGAAUGAUCUUUAUUAAGUAUAA
rnacentral:lncRNA from 1 species